UCGAGGAUCUUCGGCAAUGGGCGCAAGCCUGACCGAGCGACGCCGCGUGUGCGAUGAAGGCCUUCGGGUUGUAAAGCACUGUCGAGGGGGAGGAAGCCCGCAAGGGUUGACCUAUCCCUGGAGGAAGCACGGGCUAAGUUCGUGCCAGCAGCCGCGGUAAGACGAACCGUGCGAACGUUGUUCGGAUUCACUGGGCUUAAAGGGCGCGUAGGCGGCUUGCCAAGUCAGGGGUGAAAUCUUUCGGCUUAACCGGAAAAGUGCUUCUGAUACUGGCAGGCUGGAGGGAGGUAGGGGCAGACGGAACUUCCGGUGGAGCGGUGAAAUGCGUAGAUAUCGGAAGGAACGCCGGUGGCGAAAGCGGUCUGCUGGACCUCUUCUGACGCUGAGGCGCGAAAGCCAGGGGAGCAAACGGGAUUAGAUACCCCCGUAGUCC
rnacentral:rRNA from 1 species